CAGGGAAUCUUGGGCAAUGGGCGAAAGCCUGACGCAGCGACGCCGCGUGGGGGAUGAAGGUUUUCGGAUUGUAAACCCCUUUUGUGAGGAAAGAUAAAGUGGGUAACCACUUAGACGGUACCUCAAGAAAAAGCCACGGCUAACUUCGUGCCAGCAGCCGCGGUAAUACGAAGGUGGCGAGCGUUGUUCGGAAUUACUGGGCGUAAAGGGCGCGUAGGCGGGCGAUCAAGUCAGAGGUGAAAGGCCUGGGCUCAACCUGGGAACUGCCUUUGAAACUGAUAGUCUAGAGUCCGGGAGAGGAUGGCGGAAUUCCCAGUGUAGAGGUGAAAUUCGUAGAUAUUGGGAAGAACACCAGUGGCGAAGGCGGCCAUCUGGUCCGGUACUGACGCUGAGGCGCGAAAGCGUGGGGAGCAAACAGGAUUAGAUACCCUGGUAGUCCACGCCGUAAACGAUGUGUGCUAGCCGUUGGGGAACCUAGUUUCUCAGUGGCGCAGCUAACGCGUUAAGCACACCGCCUGGGGAGUACGGUCGCAAGAUUA
rnacentral:rRNA from 1 species